UUUAGUUCUGGCCUUCCGGUUUUACACCUUUUCCGAAUCUCGAAAGUUGCGUUAAACCCAGUUCCUAAAUCCCCAGAACCUCUCGUACAGAGAAAAGCAAGUUUGAUCUGAUACUGUUCGAUAAAUAUGCAGAAGAAGAGCUUCACUCUUCUACAGACAAUUGCAAUUUCAGGUGUAUUCUCUGCCGUUUCUGGCUGGUAUGGGUUCAUGUUCGGGAGAGAGUCAGCUCGGAAGGAGCUAGGAGGUUUGAUUGAAAGUCUCCGCAAUCCCAAUUCUGACUCCGUCUCACCUCCCUCCUCUCACUCCUAAUUCUAGCAGGUGCUAAAGAAAGGUAAGAUAACACAAGUUUGGAUGAUGGAAGAAAAUGAGUGCCUCAUCUCUUCUUGAAGCUGAGACAAGUGAAGGUACCUGGACCUUGGUAGAAAGCUCUUUGAGAUCGUGACAACAACUUAGAUUUAAAUGUUUUUCUCGUUCUUCUGCUGGAAAAUUUACUUCCUUGUUCAUGAUAACUAAAUUGCCUGUACUAUCGAGAUAGAAGUCUGUAUAAUGAUGUUCUUCAUUGAGAAGGAAGUAGUGAAAUUGUGCUGGAUAUCAGAUAUCAAUUGUUGACUACUGGUUUAUUUUUCCCACUCCAUGCAACUAUGGAAAAUUCUGCAUUA